UAAAGUUCAGAUUCUCUGACUU
rnacentral:misc_RNA from 1 species